GACGAACGCUGGCGGCGUGCUUAACACAUGCAAGUCGAACGGAAAGGCCCUGCUUUUGUGGGGUGCUCGAGUGGCGAACGGGUGAGUAACACGUGAGUAACCUGCCCUUGACUUUGGGGUAACUUCACGAAACUGGGGCUAAUACCGGAUAGGAUAUCCUGCUGCAUGGUGGGGGUUGGAAAGUUACGGCGGGUGGGGAUGGACUCGCGGCUUAUCAGCUUGCUGGUGGGGUAGUGGCUUACCAAGGCUUUGACUGGUAGCCGGCCUGAGAGGGUGACCGGCCACAUUGGGACUGAGAUACGGCCCAGACUACUACGGUAGGCAGCAGUGGGGAAUAUUGCACAAUGGGCGGGAGCCUGAUGCAGCAACGCCGCGUGCGGGAUGACGGCAUUCGGGUUGUAAACCGCUUCCGCCUGUGACGAAGCGUGAGUGACGGUAAUGGGUAAAGAAGCACCGGCUAACUACGUG
rnacentral:rRNA from 1 species